rnacentral:rRNA from 1 species
GAUGAACGCUGGCGGCGUGCUUAACACAUGCAAGUCGAACGGAAAGGCCCCUGCUUGCAGGGGUACUCGAGUGGCGAACGGGUGAGUAACACGUGGGUGAUCUGCCCUGCACUUCGGGAUAAGCCUGGGAAACUGGGUCUAAUACCGGAUAGGACCACCUUCUGGAUGGUGUGGUGGAAAGUUUUUCGGUGCGGGAUGAGCUCGCGGCCUAUCAGCUUGUUGGUGGGGUAAUGGCCUACCAAGGCGUCGACGGGUAGCCGGCCUGAGAGGGUGUACGGCCACAUUGGGACUGAGAUACGGCCCAGACUCCUACGGGAGGCAGCAGUGGGGAAUAUUGCACAAUGGGCGGAAGCCUGAUGCAGCGACGCCGCGUGGGGGAUGACGGCCUUCGGGUUGUAAACUCCUUUCGCUAGGGACGAAGCGCGAGUGACGGUACCGGGAGAAGAAGCACCGGCUAACUACGUG